rnacentral:rRNA from 1 species
GACGAACGCUGGCGGCGUGCUUAACACAUGCAAGUCGAGCGGAAAGGCCCUUCGGGGUACUCGAGCGGCGAACGGGUGAGUAACACGUGAGUAACCUGCCCCAGACUUCGGGAUAACCCUCGGAAACGGGGGCUAAUACCGGAUACGACACAGCUUCGCAUGGGGUCUGUGUGGAAAGUUUUUCGGUUUGGGAUGGGCUCGCGGCCUAUCAGCUUGUUGGUGGGGUGAUGGCCUACCAAGGCGACGACGGGUAGCCGGCCUGAGAGGGCGACCGGCCACACUGGGACUGAGACACGGCCCAGACUCCUACGGGAGGCAGCAGUGGGGAAUAUUGCACAAUGGGCGGAAGCCUGAUGCAGCGACGCCGCGUGAGGGAUGACGGCCUUCGGGUUGUAAACCUCUUUCAGCAGGGACGAAGCGUAAGUGACGGUACCUGCAGAAGAAGCGCCGGCCAACUACGUG